GCGAGCGAAAAGAAAACAGUUCAGCACUAAGUCAUUUUGUCUUUAUGGCAAAUAUGAGAUGCAGUGUAUGGAACAUCUAUAAUCUAAUAUGAAAAAUUAGUGAUUUAAGUCCUUCUUAAAUGAGGCCAUUUACCCAUAGAGGGUGCCAGGCCCGUGUAACAUUAAUGAUUAUUAGAAGAUGUUUCCAAAGAGUCGUGUUGCUUGAUAGUGCAGCACUAAGUUGGUGGUAAACUCCAUCUAAAACUAAAUAUAACCAUGAGACCGAUAGUAAACAAGUACCGUGAGGGAAAGUUGAAAAGAACUCUGAAUAGAGAGUUAAAUAGUACGUGAAACUGCUUAGAGGUUAAGCCCGAUGAACCUGAAUAUCCAUUAUGAAAAAUACAACAUUAUAUAUCUUAUAAUAUUAAUAGUAUAUUAUGGAAAUAGUGUGCAUUUUUUUCAUAUAAGGACAUUGUAAUCUAUUAACAUAUAUUUGUAUAUUUAUCAAAAAGUCAUUGGGAUAUAAGUUUAUUUGAAUUGAUUUGUAUUUAUACAUUUUAAUGAUAAUAAAUACCUAUGAUUUGAUAAAGUGUUGAUAGAUUUUGUAAUAUAGUGCUUAAAUUUAUUUAAUAAAUUUUGUAAUAAUAUAAAUUGUCUUAUGAUUUUUAUAUUUAUUACAUGCGCUAAUAUGAUUAACAAUGCGAUAGAUUCAGGAUACCUUCGGGACCCGUCUGAACACGGACCAAGGAGUCUAACAUAUGUGCAAGUCAUUGGGAUUAAUUUAAUUUAAACCCAAAGGCGUAAUUAACUUAAAUUUUUUAUAUAUGGGAUUAGUUAUUAAUUUAUUUAUAAAUUAUUAAUUCAAUCCCGGGGCGUUCUAUAUAGUUAUGUAAUUUAUAAUAUUUAUAUUAUUUAUAACCUCUAACUGGAGCGUACCUUGAGCAUAUAUGCUGUGACCCGAAAGAUGGUGAACUAUACUUGAUCAGGUUGAAGUCAGGGGAAACCCUGAUGGAAGACCGAAACAGUUCUGACGUGCAAAUCGAUUGUCAGAAUUGAGUAUAGGGGCGUAAGACUAAUCGAACCAUCUAGUAGCUGGUUCCCUCCGAAGUUUCCCUCAGGAUAGCUGGUGCAUUUAAAAAUUAUGUAAAAUAAUCCUAUCUGGUAAAGCGAAUGAUUAGAGGCCUUAGGGUCGAAACGACCUUAACCUAUUCUCAAACUUUAAAUGGGUAAGAACCUCACCUUUCUUGAUAUGAAGGUUGAGGUUGUGAUAUAAUGUGCCCAGUGGGCCACUUUUGGUAAGCAGAACUGGCGCUGUGGGAUGAACCAAACGUAAUGUUACGGUGCCCAAAUUAACAACUCAUACAGAUACCAUGAAAGGCGUUGGUUGCUUAAAACAGCAGGACGGUGGACAUGGAAGUCGUAAUCCGCUAAGGAGUGUGUAACAACUCACCUGCCGAAGCAACUAGCCCUUAAAAUGGAUGGCGCUUAAGUUGUAUACCUAUACAUUACCGCUAAAGUAAAUGAUUUAUUUUCAAUUUGAAAUUUAAAUUUUUAAACUUUAGUGAGUAGGAGGGUACAAUGGUGUGCAUAGAAGUGUUUGGCGUAAGCCUGCAUGGAGCCGCCAUUGGCACAGAUCUUGGUGGUAGUAGCAAAUAAUCGAAUGAGACCUUGGAGGACUGAAGUGGAGAAGGGUUUCGUGUGAACAGUGGUUGAUCACGAGUUAGUCGGUCCUAAGUUCAAGGCGAAAGCCGAAAAUUUUUCAGUUAUAAAUAAAUUUAAUAAUCAUGUAUACAUGGAAGGGUGUGUAAAUAUUAUGUGGAAGUAUAUUUUAAUUAAUAUAUGGAAGGGUAAUAUACACAUGUGGAAAUGUAUACAAACAAUAUGCAUGGAAGGGUGUGUAAAUAUUAUGUGGAAGUAUAUUAUUAUGAACAAUAUAUGGAAGGGUAAUAUACACAUGUGGAAAUGUAUACACAAAAUUGUAAUUAAACACUGAAUUAUUUUUGAACGAAAGGGAAUACGGUUCCAAUUCCGUAACCUGUUGAGUAUCCGUUUGUUAUUAAAAAUGGGCCUUGUGCUCAUCCUGGUAACAGGAACGACCAUAAAGAAGCCGUCGAGAGAUAUCGGAAGAGUUUUCUUUUCUGUUUUAUAGUCGUACUACCAUGGAAGUCUUUCGAAGAGAGAUAUGGUAGAUGGACUAGAAGAGCAUGACAUUUACUGUUGUGUCGAUAUUUUCUCCUCGGACCUUGAAAAUUUAUGGUGGGGUUACGCAAACUUCUCAACAGGCCGUACCGAUAUCCGCAGCUGGUCUCCAAGGUGAAGAGUCUCUAGUCGAUAGAAUAAUGUAGGUAA
rnacentral:rRNA from 1 species